CAGCCGCCACGGUAAUACGUAGGGUGCGAGCGUUAAUCGGAAUUACUGGGCGUAAAGCGAGCGCAGACGGUUAUUUAAGCAGGAUGUGAAAUCCCCGGGCUUAACCUGGGAACUGCGUUCUGAACUGGAUAGCUAGAGUGUGUCAGAGGGGGGUAGAAUUCCACGUGUAGCAGUGAAAUGCGUAGAGAUGUGGAGGAAUACCGAUGGGGAAGGCAGCCCCCUGGGAUAACACUGACGUUCAUGCUCGAAAGCGUGGGUAGCAAACAGGAUUAGAUACCCGCGUAGUCCCUGUCUCUUAUAC
rnacentral:rRNA from 1 species